rnacentral:rRNA from 1 species
GACCGUACAAAGGUAGCAUAAUCAUUAGUUUAUUAAUUGUAAACUGGAAUGAAUGAUUGGACAAGAAAGAUACUGUUUCAGUUUUAUUAAUUGGAUUUUACUUGUUAGUGAGAAGGCUAACAUUUUUAUGAAAGACGAGAAGACCCUGUAGAGUUUUAUAUUAAAUUAAUUUUGGUUUGGUUGAUAUAUAUUUAUUAUUUAGUUGGGGUAAUUGUAGAAUAAAUAUUUAUUUAGCAUAUGGUACUUAAUAGUAGUUGAUUGACCUAUUAUAUAGGAAAUGGUUAAAUUACCUCAGGGAUAACAGCAUAAUUUAGUUUGGGAGUUCUUAUCUAUAAUUAAGUUUGUGACCUCGAUGUGA